rnacentral:ncRNA from 2 species
AUCAGGAAGCCGGUGCGAGUCCGGCGCGGUCCCGCCACUGUGACCGGGGAGCGGUCCUCCCGCAUGCCACCGUCCGCAGCCGCGGACGGGAAGGCGGAGGAGAGCGACGAUCCGGGAGCCAGGAGACUG